rnacentral:rRNA from 1 species
AUUCCAGCUCCAAUAGCGUAUAUUAAAGUUGUUGCAGUUAAAAAGCUCGUAGUUGGAUUUCUGCCAGGGUGCCAAUGUCCGCCGAAGUGCGUGCGCAGCGGCGCCCUCGCAUCCUUCUGUUAACGCCUCUCGGCAUUUACUUGCCGGUGGUGGGCUCAGAUAAUUUACCUUGAGAAAAUUAGAGUGUUUCAGGCAGGCUAGGCCGGAAUACAUUAGCAUGGAAUAAUGGAAUAGGACUACGGUCUCGUUGUUGGUUUGAGGGACUGGAGUAAUGAUUAAUAGGGGUAGUUGGGGGCAUUAGUAUUUAAUUGUCAGAGGUGAAAUUCUCAGAUUUGUUAAAGACUAACUUAUGCGAAAGCAUUUGCCAAGGAUGCUUUCAUCA